rnacentral:rRNA from 1 species
UACGAAGGGGGCUAGCGUUGUUCGGAAUUACUGGGCGUAAAGCGCGCGCAGGCGGUUUUUCAAGUCAGUGGUGAAAGCCCGGAGCUCAACUCCGGAAAUGCCAUUGAAACUGUAAAACUUGAGGACGAGAGAGGUGAGUGGAAUUCCCAGUGUAGAGGUGAAAUUCGUAGAUAUUGGGAAGAACACCGGUGGCGAAGGCGGCUCACUGGCCCGGUACUGACGCUGAGGUGCGAAAGCGUGGGGAGCAAACAGG